rnacentral:rRNA from 1 species
GACGGAGGGUGCAAGCGUUGUUCGGAAUCACUGGGCGUAAAGCGCGCGUAGGCGGUCUGUUAAGUGGGAUGUGAAAUCCCCGGGCUUAACCUGGGAAUUGCAUUUCAAACUGGCCGACUAGAGUACGGUAGAGGGAGGUAGAAUUUCCUGUGUAGCGGUGAAAUGCGUAGAUAUAGGAAGGAAUACCAGUGGCGAAGGCGGCCUCCUGGAUCGAUACUGACGCUGAGGCGCGAAAGCGUGGGGAGCAAACAGG